UACGGGGGGGGCAAGCGUUGUUCGGAAUUACUGGGCGUAAAGGGCUCGUAGGCGGCCAACUAAGUCAGACGUGAAAUCCCUCAGCUUAACUGGGGAACUGCGUCUGAUACUGGAUGGCUUGGAUUCGGGAGAGGAAUGCGGAAUUCCAGGUGUAGCGGUGAAAUGCGUAGAUAUCUGGAGGAACACCGGUGGCGAAGGCGGCAUUCUGGACCGACAUUGACGCUGAGGAGCGAAAGUGUGGGGAGCGAACAGG
rnacentral:rRNA from 1 species